AGAGUGAACGCUGGCGGUAGGCCUAACACAUGCAAGUCGAACGGCAGCACAGUAAGAGCUUGCUCUUAUGGGUGGCGAGUGGCGGACGGGUGAGGAAUACAUCGGAAUCUACCUUUUCGUGGGGGAUAACGUAGGGAAACUUACGCUAAUACCGCAUAAGACCUUCGGGUGAAAGCCGGGGACCUUCGGGCCUGGCGCGGAUAGAUGAGCCGAUGUCGGAUUAGCUUGUUGGCGGGGUAAAAGCCCACCAAGGCGACGAUCCGUAGCUGGUCUGAGAGGAUGAUCAGCCACACUGGAACUGAGACACGGUCCAGACUCCUACGGGAGCGCGAGUGGGAAGUAGUUA
rnacentral:rRNA from 1 species